rnacentral:rRNA from 1 species
GACGAACGCUGGCGGCGUGCUUAACACAUGCAAGUCGAACGAUGAAGAAGAGAAACGCGAACUUCGGUUCAAAUUUCACUUCGGAUUAGUGGCAGACGGGUGAGUAACGCGUGAGCAACCUACCUCUUACAAAGGGAUAGCCUCGGGAAACCGUGAUUAAUACCAUAUGACACAUUCAUAAGGCAUCUUAAGAAUGUUAAAGCUACGGCGGUAAGAGAUGGGCUCGCGUCCCAUUAGCUAGUUGGUGAGGUAACGGCCCACCAAGGCGACGAUGGGUAACCGGCCUGAGAGGGUGAACGGUCACAUUGGAACUGAGACACGGUCCAAACUCCUACGGGAGGCAGCAGUGGGGAAUAUUGCACAAUGGAGGGAACUCUGAUGCAGCGACGCCGCGUGAGCGAUGAAGGAAUUCGUUUCGUAAAGCUCUGUUCUAUGGGAAGAAAAGGACUGUACCAUAGGAGAAAGCCCCGGCUAACUACGUG